rnacentral:rRNA from 1 species
CAGCCGCCGCGGUAAUACGAAGGGGGCUAGCGUUGUUCGGAUUUACUGGGCGUAAAGCGCACGUAGGCGGAUCGAUCAGUCAGGGGUGAAAUCCCAGAGCUCAACUCUGGAACUGCCUUUGAUACUGUCGAUCUGGAGUAUGGAAGAGGUGAGUGGAAUUCCGAGUGUAGAGGUGAAAUUCGUAGAUAUUCGGAGGAACACCAGUGGCGAAGGCGGCUCACUGGUCCAUUACUGACGCUGAGGUGCGAAAGCGUGGGGAGCAAACAGGAUUAGAUACCCCCGUAGUCCCUGUCUCUUAUAC